GUUAGCUUGACGUAGAGACGAAUCACCCGCUCAUUGCCUUUACCGACAUAAUGCUCUCGCAGUAUCUUCAAUGCUUUCCUCCCGUCGUCCGCCGCUUCUCUCGUAACCAGCGACAGGCUUGUGUGGUCUAAAAGCGCGGUGGCUUUGAGGCCGAGCAGACGCAAGUGCCCCAGAAACUUGGCUUCCCACAGCUCGUAAUUCUUCUCAUUUCCAUCGAAGCAUAAUCGAUGCUGUCGGCCUCCGACUUCUCUUGUGGCCAUAUAUCGUGUUGUUGUCAUCAUUUUAAAGGCCAGACGCAUCAUAGACGUAAUGCUGCCAUCCACAGGUUUCUAUCAGAGUUUUUCAGCACCGCCAGCCUUUUGAAGGUCGGGUCGCGGGGGCAGCAGCCUAAGCAGGGAACCCCAGACUUCCCUCUCCCCAGCUACUUCGUCCAGCUCCUCCCGGGGGAUACCAAGGCGAUCCCAGGCCAGCCGGG